AAAAUACGAACGAGGAGAGCUCUUAUGUUUGCAAAUCAGCUGUUGCUACUGCAGAGAACAGAGUUUCUAAAUUCUAAGGGGAAAUGACACUAACACAACUCCAAAGACAACAACGCGUUUAAUUGAUUCUGGUCUUGCCGUUGCUCUUGUCUCUCAACAACAGCACUAUCAUCAUGCCUUUGAUUUAACCUCAACGCUGGGAAUGGGGAACUUCUAGUUGUGGACUCCAAUGAUCAAACUAAGCUUAAACAUGAGGAUCA